rnacentral:rRNA from 1 species
UACAGGGGGUGCAAACGUUGCUCGGAAUCAUUGGGCGUAAAGCGCACGUAGGCGGUUCGUUAUGUCGGAUGUGAAAGCCCUUGGCUUAACCGAGGAAGUGCAUCCGAAACUGGCGAGCUAGAGUACGAAAGAGGAUCGCGGAAUUCCCGGUGUAGAGGUGAAAUUCGUAGAUAUCGGGAGGAACACCGGUGGCGAAGGCGGCGAUCUGGGUCGAUACUGACGCUGAGGUGCGAAAGCGUGGGGAGCGAUCCGG